rnacentral:lncRNA from 1 species
AUGAACAAGGUUAAAAAGGUAACAUGUAGUUUGUCCCAAGGUGUCUGCCUCCUCACCCAGAGCAAGACCUCCUCACCCAGAGCCAGACCUCCACCUCCUGUCAGAAGUCCUCCAGAACAGCUGAAAGGUGAGGCUGAGAGGCUGGGGACCGGAGGCUUGUGGUGCCAGGAGGGACCAGAGACUGAGGCUGGAGACCAGGGGCCUGCAGCACCGGACCAGAGGGUAACCAUCACCAAGCUCAUCUGAAACACUAAAAUCCAUGGUAGUUUUGAUCAUCUAAUGACUUUAAAUCUUUGCCAAGCUGUGAUUUGAGUUAAUUCAUACGGGGGUUAUGUAAGAGUCAUAUGAGCCAUUAUUGUUACUAGUGCUGCUACGACCGUAGUGGAUGAAUUGCUGAACGAGACAAGCUGCAGACGUUGUCUAAUUUAAGUGUUUAAAUAUGUUUUUAAAUUUGUCUUCACUUUUACAAGUGAACCUCAGAUGCAGGUGGUGGGGUGUGUUGCUUCCCCAGAUGAUUUACUGCUGGGACCAACUGUGUUUGUAACCAGACCAGGAAUCUAUUUCUGGGGGAGCCGUGCUGAAGGAGCUGCUGGAGGAGUCGUGCUGAGGGCCUGCCUGCUGGUGGAGAAGUCGUGCUGAGGGCCUGCCUGCUGGAGGAGCUGGUGGAGGAGUCGUGCUGAGGGCCUGCCUGGUGGAGGAGCUGGUGGAGGCCCUGCCUGGUGAAGGACGUCUGUCGUGGGGUAGAUGGAGCUUGAAGCUCUGAAGUGAUCAUCACACUCACUGUCACUUCUCGUAGAAUACUGCUACCACAAACUACUGGCGUUUGUGCCAUUAUAUACCAGACGACUACAUCUGUUUUACCACAUGUUGAAGCAAAACUUCCGCUGUUUGUUCCAGACCAGGAAUCUGUCUGAGGAGAGCUGCUGGAUUCCUCGUAAGUUUGUAUUUACUUACAUGGUUGACUUAGAGGGGAAAAUACAGCUGUUCCUUGGACAUGCGUUAACCAACUACCGCUGUGUUUUCUUACUAGAACGUGUUUCUGGAGCGGAGGCGAGCUGGUAGGGGAGCCAUGAAUCUGGAGGAUGACCAUCACUCUACCAACAAGGAUUGUAAGUCUGUAUUAACCUAACAAAGUGGAAAUAAAGGGCUUAAAAAUAAGACAAACUACAUGUUUUUUUACCAGACGUUGGGGCCAGACUCGCGCUGUUUGUUCCAGACCAGGACUCGGGCUGUGGUGAGCUGAUGGAGGAGCCAAGACUCUGGAGGACGACAUCACUCCACCAACCAGGAUCCUCGUGAGUUUGCAUAAAAUAAACAGAGUGGACUUGUUGUAACGCAAGAUUAGUUUGACCAGUACAAGUUACGGCACACUACUGUGGUUGUUUACCAGACAAACUAUAGCUGCUACUUUGUUACACGCCAUUAGAGCCCAACUACAACCGUUUGUUACCUGAUAUUAGAGACAAACUACUACUGUGUUUGUUACCUUUCAUUAGAGACAAACUACUACUGUUUGUUACCUUACAUUAGAGACAAAUUACGUUUGUAACCAGACCAGGAAUCUGGAGGACUGAUGGAGAAGCCGUACAUCUGGAAGGCAAAUCCUGAGGACGACCAGGUCUCUACCAUCAAGGAUUCCUCGUCAGUUUGCAUUAUCUGGACAUAGUGGACUAGGUAGGGGGUUGGGGGUUCAACUCUCAAACCAAUGUUGCCGGGUUCAAGUCCUCAGAAUACAGUGAUGCAUCCUUGAGCAAGGCGCCCUAAAGCCUGCCUGCUCCUUAAUGACUAAUCUUUGGUUCAGAUAAUGUUGCAUCUUUUGAAUAUUGAACCUAAUCAAUGUCCUUGUUUGGUCCGGGCAGACACGCCUGAGCUGAACCUCACCUGAUCCUGUUUGGUCGGGGGUAGACACACCUGAGCUGAACCCGCCCUGAUCCUGACAUCCUGCUGGUCCCGUCUCCUCAGUUCAUCUGCGCCUCGUCCUCCAGAAGACCUGCUGAGCUCAGCAGUCUGAGGCUGAUGGAUCAAUGACCUCCAGUGGGAGUGAUCUUCUUGACCCCACAUGUAACCGUGUGCUUCCACACGCCUUUCCCUCACGUCUGUCACUAACCUCACUGCUUCACUACUCUCUACUGCUUCCUCUUCUUCCUUCUCUGUUGUUCGAACCUUUACACUGGAGGCGCGUCUUCCUGCCCUCAGAGGGUUCAGCGUUAGGGUUGAGAGUCAGGGUUUAGAGUCAGGGACAGAGCUGGUCAGGGAGGACUGCUUUUUCCACAAACCUCUUCACUUCCUUUCGGAAUGGUGGUGAUAUUUUGAAAAGAUUCAUUUGGGAUAAUGUUUUCCUCUGCUUUCCUUGACAAAAUUGUAUUAAACUUCUGUCAACCAACUGUUUGUAACCAGACCAGGAAUCUAUUUCUGUGCAAGCCAUGCUGAAGGAGCUGAUGGAGGAGCAGUGCUGGAGGAGCCGUGCUGAAGGAGCUGAUGGAGGAGCCGUGCUGAAGGAGCUGAUGGAGGAGCCGUGCUGAAGGAGCUGAUGGAGGAGUCGUGCUGAAGGAGCUGAUGGAGGAGUCGUGCUUAAGGCCCUGCCUAAAUGAGGAGCUGUUGGAGGCCCUGCCUGGUGAA